AGAGUUUGAUCAUGGCUCAGGAUGAACGCUGGCGGUCUGCUUAACACAUGCAAGUCGAACGGAAUCUUUCGGGAUUUAGUGGCGGACGGGUGAGUAACGCGUGAGAAUCUGCCUUCAGGUUCGGGACAACAGUUGGAAACGGCUGCUAAUACCGGAUGUGCCGAGAGGUGAAAGCUUAAGUGCCUGGAGAUGAGCUCGCGUCUGAUUAGCUAGUAGGAGUGGUAACGGCACCCCUAGGCGACGAUCAGUAGCUGGUCUGAGAGGAUGAUCAGCCACACUGGGACUGAGACACGGCCCAGACUCCUACGGGAGGCAGCAGUGGGGAAUUUUCCGCAAUGGGCGCAAGCCUGACGGAGCAAGACCGCGUGAGGGAAGAAGGUCUGUGGAUUGUAAACCUCUUUUGAUCGGGAAGAAGACAGUGACGGUACCGAUCGAAUCAGCUCGAUUCCCGUG
rnacentral:rRNA from 1 species